rnacentral:rRNA from 1 species
GCAAGUCGAGCGAAUGGAUUAAGAGCUUGCUCUUAUGAAGUUAGCGGCCGACGGGUGAGUAACACGUGGGUAACCUGCCCAUAAGACUGGCAUAACUCCGGGAAACCGGGGCUAAUACCGGAUAACAUUUUGAACCGCAUGGUUCGAAAUUGAAAGGCGGCUUCGGCUGUCACUUAUGGAUGGACCCGCGUCGCAUUAGCUAGUUGGUGAGGUAACGGCUCACCAAGGCAACGAUGCGUAGCCGACCUGAGAGGGUGAUCGGCCACACUGGGACUGAGACACGGCCCAGACUCCUACGGGAGGCAGCAGUAGGGAAUCUUCCGCAAUGGACGAAAGUCUGACGGAGCAACGCCGCGUGAGUGAUGAAGGCUUUCGGGUCGUAAAACUCUGUUGUUAGGGAAGAACAAGUGCUAGUUGAAUAAGCUGGCACCUUGACGGUACCUAACCAGAAAGCCACGGCUAACUACGUGCCAGCAGCCGCGGUAAUACGUAGGUGGCAAGCGUUAUCCGGAAUUAUUGGGCGUAAAGCGCGCGCAGGUGGUUUCUUAAGUCUGAUGUGAAAGCCCACGGCUCAACCGUGGAGGGUCAUUGGAAACUGGGAGACUUGAGUGCAGAAGAGGAAAGUGGAAUUCCAUGUGUAGCGGUGAAAUGCGUAGAGAUAUGGAGGAACACCAGUGGCGAACGCGACUUUCUGGUCUGUAACUGACACUG